AGGCACGCUGGUGUGUAUGUUAAGAACCUGCGGGUGGAGCUGAGACCAGUCGAAGAUACCAUCUGGCUGCAACUUUUUAUUAAAAACACAGCACUGUGCAAACACGAUAGUGGACGUAUACGGUGUGACGCCUGCCCGGUGCCGGAAGUUUACUUGAUGGGGUUAUCCGUAAGGAGAAGCUCUUGAUCGAAGCCCCGGUAAACCGCGGCCGUAACUAUAACGCUCCUAAGGUAGCGAAAUUC
rnacentral:rRNA from 1 species